GAGAGAAAAUCAAGUCGCAGCCGGCUUGGGCCGGUGUUGCCAGCGGUCGUGGGAGACGCUGAGAUUGCGAGGGCUUCCCCAGCUGUUUCCAACUGACCCAAGUGUGAAGUGAGCGGUCCUGGCUGAAAGUCAGGAAACAUAGCAGCCCUGGUUGUGUAAUAAGGGUACACUUGAAAAGUACCCUGUCCUUAUCUGACAACUCAGAUGGAAGAACACCAGCCCUGAAGUUGCUUUUCUUAAAGCUGCAGUCCUAAGAGUGGCAGCUUGCACCCCAAGCAGUGAGGGGGGGCCGCCCCAGCUCCUUCGCCAGGAGCUCCACUCAGCAUCUCGCCAUCAAGCCAGUAUAGCUUUGAACGGUGUCUGCAAGCAUCUGUGCUCUACCUCCAUUUAUUUUGUGCAGCUGUUAGCAAGAUGUGUCCUAAGGCUGUUCAUCUUUUUCAAUAACUGUCAGUCGAAUUUGUGUGAAUAGAUAACAUUUACUGAGCAAGAGAAAGACAGAGCCUGAGAGGGGAAGGGGCAGAGAGAGAA